ACAGGGAGGUAACAUACAGGACUUCACACAGCGGUACAGGGAGGUAACAUACAGGACUUCACACAGCAGUACAGGACUUCACACAGCGGUACAGGGAGGUAACAUACAGGACUUCACACAGCGGUACAGGACUUCACACAGCGGUACAGGGAGGUAACAUACAGGACUUCACACAGCGGUACAGGACUUCACACAGCGGUACAGGGAGGUAACAUACAGGACUUCACACAGCAGUACAGGGAGGUAACAUACAGGACUUCACACAGCAGUACAGGGAGGUAACAUACAGGACUUCACACAGCGGUACAGGGAGGUAACAUACAGGACUUCACACAGCGGUACAGGGAGGUAACAUACAG
rnacentral:lncRNA from 1 species